UGAGGAAUAUUGCGCAAUGGGGGAAACCCUGACGCAGCGACGCCGCGUGAGUGAGGAAGGCCUUCGGGUCGUAAAGCUCUGUCAGAUGGGAAGAAAUGGCUGGAUGCCAAUACCAUUUAGCCUUGACGGUACCAUCAGAGGAAGCACCGGCCAACUCCGUGCCAGCAGCCGCGGUAAUACGGAGGGUGCAAGCGUUGUUCGGAAUUAUUGGGCGUAAAGCGCGUGUAGGCGGUAGGGUAAGUCAGAUGUGAAAGCCCUGGGCUCAACCCAGGAAGUGCAUUUGAAACUGCCCUGCUAGAGUGGGGGAGAGGAAAGUGGAAUUCCUGGUGUAGAGGUGAAAUUCGUAGAUAUCAGGAGGAACACCGGUGGCGAAGGCGGCUUUCUGGCCCUUCACUGACGCUGAGACGCGAGAGCGUGGGGAGCAAACAGG
rnacentral:rRNA from 1 species